GCGACGGUAACUGCCGGCGUUUCAUCCACCAUUCCAUGUCUCGACAUCUUAGCUGCAUUUUUCUCUUUUUGGCCAUUACAGCAUGCAAGAAAACCUUGAUAAAUAUAAAUGCAGGAUCCAAUUGUCAGUUUGGUUUCGAUUUCAUUAAUA